CAAGUGCACUAGAAAUUUCCCAGAAGUCUGAACGAAAAACCAGUGUGGAUCGAUGCUCACUAGAUUGGCGAAUAUUUACCAGAAUGCAGUGCAUAUGGACCAGAAUGCAUUGCAUAUGGACCACAAUGCAUUGCGUUGGAAUUAUUUGAAAAUGGCGGAGAGUUGCGCAAGGAAGACGACUUAAAAAUGUAAGUAUUUUAAGAAGUAUCAAGUAUCUGUUGUAAAACAUAUUUGUGAAUAUGUAAUAUGACGUGUUAUUUGUUAUAUUCCUCAAACGACAACCUACAUUGUUUUGAAGCUAAAGCUAACGCGAAUUUGCGUCGAAGGCUAAAAACAAACGCAGUAGAUAUAACAUAAAAAAGGAGUGAGUUCUAACUGUAGUCAUUAGUUAUUAACACAUUUUUUGUGUUUUUUUUUUUAUGUGUUUAUAUAUGUUGGGACAGGCGAGGAUGAGAAAAAUGUGAUCCAUCUGCGGAUGGAGAAAGAUAGCCUGUUUGUUUUCAGGUUUUUGUUGAAAGAGCCAGAAGAGAGGAGGAAAUUGCAAGAAGGGAGGAAGAGCGACAGGAGAGUCUGUUAAGCUUACUUACUUUAUAUGUUAACAUUUAUUUUUAUACAUGUUAACAAUAAUCAUGGUCUUCUAGAGUCAUGUGUGUCACAGUUGGAGCUGAAAGGAAACCAGAAAUUCGCAGACGGAUGCCACUUUGCUUGUCCUCCUGGUUCCUAGUGUCGUCCUGCUGUGGCUCAACAUCUGUGGCUCCAAGCAGUCCCCUUCACUGAUGCAAAGAUUGUGCAGGACUGCGCUGCAGGCAAUGAAUUUCAUUGCAAAGGGCCUUUAUACUUAUGUGGCAGCCAUCGAUGCUCCCCACGACCUUUUGGAAGGUGGAAGACCCAGCGAGCUGCCUAAAAAACCGGAGGCGACUUAUGGUAAUUCACAUUGGGAAGCCGGAUAACCCUGCUCAUCAGCUGGAGGAUGCGGUCCGCCGUCCUGUGGAAACUGUCACUCACAGUGGAGCGUGGCACGGCCCUUGCUACCACACCGUAAGAUGUGUCACACGCCAACCAGAAAAGGAACACCAGGACCUCAGUCUCCUGUGCCCCCCCCAGAGUGUGAGGAACCCGAAGCUGCUCCACCAGAUGCUUGAUGGUCCUGCAGGUCAACCGAAAAUCUGGUCUUGUGUCAGACUGACCAUCAGCGUAAACGGCCAGGACAGACACCUUUAUGUUGGCAAAGCAGUAGAGACGUGGAAGACCCUGUAAAAUGCAACAUUAAUUUUUUAA